CCGUAGUUCAAUGGAUAGAGCGUCAGCCUCCGGAGCUGGAGAUAUGGGUUCGACUCCCAUCGG
rnacentral:tRNA from 1 species